ensembl:lncRNA
GUGUGCUUGGUGAUAAUGCGCAACGCUUAAAAACACAUAAAAAGAAAUUUGAUGCAACAUGAGCAGUUCUAAAUUUAAAGCCGUAAUCAACACUUUUCAUUUCAUUUCCAUUUUAUUUGUGACAUCUGUAAAAUCUGGGCCAUUUUUUGCCCCAUGGCCCCAUUAAUUUCUGAGCUGUGUCCAGGGGAAGGUUAAUCCUUGCCCAGCAUUACACAUGCUCCGCCUAUGACUAUGUAACAGACAAUUAGGAGGAGAGAGGGAAAAAAGUAGCAUACUGUACAUAGUUACAGAUGUUAAAGACAAAGUGAUAAUAUUAAACAACACAGAACAAUUAGCUUCUACAACAGCAAAAAUGUAAAAUCUAUAACAAGGGUGUGAUGGACCACUGAUUUCCCCACUGUGAUUGGUAAGCAAAAUAAAUAUAUAAUUUUCAACAAUAUAAAUAUAUUACUAUAAUAAUAUAUGCUGCUGGAAAGGGGGAUUCAAUGAAUAGUUCAUCCAAUAGUUCAUAGCUGCCUAAAAUGUAGAUUUAAGGUUUGAGGACAGAUGACUCGUAUUUUACCCAGAAACAACAGUUUCAAGUUAAAAUGGCUUACGAUAUGAUUGGUUGAAUGCUAAGCUCGCAUCUGAUUGGCUAAAGAGUAAGACAGACCCACGUGGGAAGAGAGCUCUGCCAGGAAAGUCUCAAAAACACACACACACAAAUCCGAGUGGAUUCGUAGUAAAUGACGAUUUGUACAUUCAGACACUCGUACAUUUUAAACAUUCAAAGGUUUUUGUGCACAGUUGUAUAUCUACGAAUUGUGUUUUGGCAUUUGUGAAAUGUAUUUUAUGAAUAUAUAAUUUUAUUUGCGCAUGUGAAUUGCUUUUUGUGAAUAUAUAUUUUUUUUUCACGCACGUGAAUUUUUUUUGUGUGUACGUGAAUUAGGUUUCAUGCAUGUGAAAUUGUCUACGAAUCAUGUUUUUUGCGUGAAUUAUAUUUGAGAUUAAUCUGCUUCCAUAGUCUUCCAGCUUGGUGAAGCUGCUGUUCACCUAGCCAGCUAGUUGGUUUCCCAGUCUGACCAGACUAAUGGUCCUCUAAAACCAGCAAAGCAGACCAUCAAAACCAGCUUAGUUUGUAAUAGGUUUAAAGCAGCAGGGUCAUAAACAAUAUAAUUUUAAAGAUACUCCAUGGGUGUUUUCUCAUAUAGUUUUUUCUUACAGCCAUUCCACAGAACAGCAGUGAAAUAGUGGUUGUGAGCUGUGAGCAGAGGCCUAGGUGGGAGCACAGUACAUAUGGCAAUGCCAUCUGUUCAAUGAAUGGCAACAGCAUACUUGCAGAGAAAUUACUUUGCAGGAAAAUCUAUGCAUUUGAUAAGUGAAGUGACGAGCUGUCUGAACUACUUCAACAAAGUUUGAGAUCCACUACAGAAUGUCAAGUGAACAUCAUUGACGCAGCGCUGCCCACUGGCAUUAGCCUUAGGGGUCUUACAGCACUUUCAGAAUUACAGACGAUAUAAGAAAAUGGGAAAAGGCUGAUGGGGUAUUAAAGCUCAUUUUCCCUCACUAUCCAAUGGUUCAUUUAGAUUUUAAUGAGGAGUGUAAACAUUGUUCAUAAUCACUUCCACUUCUCAAAUGCAACCAUAUCUGGAAACAAUAAUGCAGCAAACCAACCAAUAUGACAAAGGCAUCAUUAAUACAUGCCACCAACUAACAAUCUAUACUGUUAUGUCAUUUUCCAACCUGGACUGUCAGAAUUCUUAGUUAUUCAGAGCAAAUCAUACUUACAAUUUGCUUUACUAUCAGUCAGAAGUUUCGAAAAAUUUUAUAUAUACUGUAUGUAUAUAUAUAUAUAUAUAUAUUAUGUUAUAUAUAUAUGAAUUCUUAAAUGCUCACUGACGCGGCAUUUGUUUGUUUACAAAUGCAGUAAAACAGCACUAUUGUGAACUAUUAUUACAAUUUAAAAUAACUGUUUUCUAGUUUACUGCAUUUUAAAAUAAGUUAUUACUGUGAUGGACAACCACAAGUUUCAGCAUCCAUUAUUCUGGUCUUCAGUGUCACAUGAUCCUUGAGAUUUCAUUCUAAUAUGCUGAUUGUGUUAUAUUUUUGUUACACUUCAACCUAUCAUACGUUACUAUACAUUUUUUCCCCAAAGAAAUGAAUACUUUUAUUAAAGGGGUGUUGUUAUAAUGUAAAAUAGGUGGAAAGUAAUGUGUUUUUCGAACAACCUAGUGUGAGAGCCUGUUCUAGUACACCCCCAAAACAAAAUCAAUACAUUGUAAAAGAGCACAAUAGGACCCCUUUAAGCAAAGAUGCAUUAAAUUGUUGCCAAACGUUUAUUUUUCAAAUAAAUGAGUAAAGUAAUAAGAACCAUUAUUGAUAAUUGGACACCAGUAACAAUUGACAAUGACUGAGCACCAGAUCAGCAUAUUAGAAUGAUUUCUGAAGGAUCAUGUGACACUGAUGUGACUUUUGCAUCUUUUGUACACACUACACAAAAUAGUUAACAUAACAAGACUCAUUUUUACAGACAAACACUGUGAACUACUUUCAAGGCAAGUUUCAUAACAUGAUCAAGAUCACAACACAGGAUGAUACAGUGCUUUGCAAAGGUAUUCAGACCCUUAAAUAGUUCUCUCAUUAUACUAUAGGUACAAAUCCAAUUUUAAAGAAAAUUUGUUUUACAUUUUUAAUAAAAAUAAAAACGGCAUAUUCAGUCUACACAUUUGAGUAUAUUACAAAGCUAACAUUGAAGCAAUGGCAGCUGCAAACCUGGCUCUAUAAAUGUCUUUUGUGGUAUGUACCAGCUUUUCACAACUGUAUUAGGGUGUAAUUGUGUCCCAUUUUCCCCAGGCAGAUUGAUAUUUCAGGUUAGUCAGUGACUCUUGCGCACCAAUGAUUUUCAAAUUGCGCCAGAGAUUCAUAAUUGGACUGAGAUCACGGCUUUGAGGGUGCUACUGUAGGAAAUUCACCUUGUAGACCACUCCAUUGUUAAACCGGGCAUGUGCAUAGGAUCAUUUUAAAGCUAAAAGAUAUUCUAGAAUGCUCCAUUAUUCCUUCUUUUUUUAACAAGAUACCAAGUCCUUGCUUUUGAAAAGCAGUCCCACAGCAGGAUGCUAUCAUGACUUUACUUUACUGUAAGUGUGAGGGGUUUAUUUUAGAUAUGGGUGUUAGAUUUGGUUUUAAAUCACCAAAAAUCUUUUCCCAUAUUCCAUCUAGGUCAUGAUUAUGUUUUUUUCUUUUUCUUCCAUGUAUAUUUUUGGACAAUUUUAUCAUAAUAUUAUAACUAAAUCUUUGUGUUUAUCUUUUUAAAUUGUCACAACAUUUUGUUAUUUUUAAUUUAACAUUGAUUUAGAUCAUUAAUUCAAAUCAAAGCGUACUGCACUUUUCAUUGCAGGUUGUAACUUGGCACCACUUUUAUUUUAUUUAAAAAUUCAAGGCAACUGAACUUUAAAGUUUUACAUUUUAAUGGAAUUUUAUUUUAUUUUUAUUAUUGUAUUUUUAUUUUUUGGUUUGAGUCUAAUUUAAAAAUCUAAUUUAUAAACCUAAUUUAUAUUGAAAGAGCAAAAUCUAGGGAUCCGAAUAGCAUAAAAAAUUGUUGGUGGGCUUUUGUGACCUAGGCCAGUUUGCAACCAAAUAGCAACAUGCUAAAAAUCACUUAGCAACCUAGUUUUGCACCACUGUAAAAAUCUAAUGCUAAAGUAAUAGCUUGUGCUACUGUGAUAUGUAUAACCUUCUCAUCUAUGCAUUUCUUCUCACUUAAUUGUAAAGGGCUUUACAAUUUUUUUUUCUUUAUUGUCCAUUGGAAUAAAAGAAUGAUAAUGGAUCUGAAUGAUGAUCCCUUUUUAUUUUUAGUAUUUAAUUUUUUCCCCUAUAAAAUGUGGAAGUAAUUUCAAUGAGUCACAGUUAGAGGGCAAUUGUAAGGCAACUGUGUCCUUGUUAGUGGGAUUGUUACUUUUGGAAAGCACUGUAUAUUUGACUCUUAGUAGAUUGCACUAACAAUGGAGGGAAACACAGCAAAUCAUCGCACAUCUGAUUGCAGUGAAUGUCUAAAACCUUAAAGAAAGAAAGAAAAAGUCAUGCAGCAAAAAUACAAUAACUAGAAUGAAAGUUAAAAGCAACUAAAAAAAGACACUUUACACUGCAAAGAAAAGUGAUAAAAUGUAUUCCUCAAGCUCGCACACUUUUAAAAGGCUCAAGAAAAGCACUUACAGUACAACAUUUGGAAAAGAAACAACCUAACAGAACAAGCUCAAUGCAGUGUUUUUCACAAACAAAAAGCAAAUGAAAUGUGCUGAAUUUUGACUCAUUCGGGUAUCUGUGUCAACAUUCACAUGCUUGUGCUGAAGCGCUAAAGCUGCUGUAGAUCAGUGGAAAGGCAUCAUGAGACUGAGAUAACGUAGCUCUGAUAUGCACAACAUGGCCAUAAGCAUGUGGACACUCACUUCCAAUUAACAAGAGUUGCUAUUUCAGACACACCCAUUACUGAGAAGUUAAUAAAAUCAAUAAUACAACCAUGCCAUCCCCUAAAAUGAACAUUUCUAAAAGAAUGGGGCCCUUUUCUGUUCCAGUCACUGUGUGCAAAGAAAGGUUGAUGGAAAAACUUGAGUGGCCUUCACAAAGUGUGACACAAAUCCCACUGAACACCUCUGGAAUUAAUUUGGAAAGCUGAGUGAGCCAGACCUCAUCACCCACCAUCAGCACCCAACCUCACAGAUGCUCCUGUGUCUGAAGAGAAGCAAAUCCCUGCAUCUAUAUUCCAACAUCUGGUGGAAAGCCUUCCAAGAGUGGAAGCUGUUAUAGCAACAAAGGAAGAACCACCUCAGUAUGAAUGCCAAUGGCUUUAAAAAUGCACAUAAGGGUGUGAUUUUCAAGUGUACCGCAAAAUAAUUUUCUAAAUCUGUAUUUUUGUAUUGUUUUCUAUUAAAAAUAUCUGUACACCCACGAGUACAUCCAAAAGUCUGGGAUUGGUAAGAUUUUUUUAAAAAUGUUUUUGAAAAAAGUAUCUUAUAUUAUUACAAUUUAAAAUAACUGUUUUUUUUAAAUAUUUUAAAAUGCAUUUUAUUCC